rnacentral:lncRNA from 1 species
UGCGCAGUUCGCGAUAGAGUUUGCCUCCCAUGAGCAUGGAAUGCCCAGCUGAUCCGACAGGGGGCGGAGCUCGGCGGUAAACUCGCCCACCGCACACCUCCUGCUGUGAGGCCCGUUCCUAACAGGCCACAGACCUGUACCACUCCGCAGCCCAGGGGUUGGGGACCCUGCUCUAAAGAACGGGCUUUAAGCAGAAAAAGCUUCUCGUCACCCACAGGGCACACCUGCUUGCCCACCGACCUGCCUGCCACCUGCACUAACGCCACAGGCAGGAAAGCAAGGUCUCCAUGAGACAACUGCACACAAGAGAUAGUGCACUCACUACUCAUAACAGCCAGGGUGCUACGAGUAGGUGGAGGCAACACAAGUAUCCAUCAAUGGAUG